rnacentral:rRNA from 1 species
CAGCAGCCGCGGGAAUACAGAGGGUGCGAGCGUUAAUCGGAUUUACUGGGCGUAAAGCGUGCGUAGGCGGCUUCUUAAGUCGGAUGUGAAAUCCCUGAGCUUAACUUAGGAAUUGCAUUCGAUACUGGGAAGCUAGAGUAUGGGAGAGGAUGGUAGAAUUCCAGGUGUAGCGGUGAAAUGCGUAGAGAUCUGGAGGAAUACCGAUGGCGAAGGCAGCCAACUGGCCUAAUACUGACGCUGAGGUACGAAAGCAUGGGGAGCAAACAGGAUUAGAUACCCGCGUAGUCCCUGUCUCUUAUAC